AACGAACGCUGGCGGCAUGCCUAACACAUGCAAGUCGAACGAGAUCUUCGGGUCUAGUGGCGCACGGGUGCGUAACGCGUGGGAAUCUGCCCUUUGGUUCGGAAUAACAGUUGGAAACGACUGCUAAUACCGGAUGAUGACGAAAGUCCAAAGAUUUAUCGCCAGAGGAUGAGCCCGCGUAGGAUUAGCUAGUUGGUGUGGUAAGGGCGCACCAAGGCGACGAUCCUUAGCUGGUCUGAGAGGAUGAUCAGCCACACUGGAACUGAGACACGGCCCAGACUCCUACGGGAGGCAGCAGUGGGGAAUAUUGGACAAUGGGCGAAAGCCUGAUCCAGCAAUGCCGCGUGAGUGAUGAAGGCCUUAGGGUUGUAAAGCUCUUUUACCCGGGAUGAUAAUGACAGUACCGGGAGAAUAAGCUCCGGCUAACUCCGUGCCAGCAGCCGCCGUAA
rnacentral:rRNA from 1 species